AUUGAACGCUGGCGGCAUGCCUUACACAUGCAAGUCGAACGGCAGCACGGGAGCUUGCUCCUGGUGGCGAGUGGCGAACGGGUGAGUAAAUGCAUCGGAACGUGCCCUGAAGUGGGGGAUAACGUAGCGAAAGUUACGCUAAUACCGCAUAUUCUGUGAGCAGGAAAGCAGGGGAUCUUCGGACCUUGCGCUUUUUGGAGCGGUCGAUGUCGGAUUAGCUAGUUGGUGGGGUAAAGGCCCACCAAGGCGACGAUCCGUAGCGGGUCUGAGAGGAUGAUCCGCCACACUGGAACUGAGACACGGUCCAGACUCCUACGGGAGGCAGCAGUGGGGAAUUUUGGACAAUGGGCGCAAGCCUGAUCCAGCCAUGCCGCGUGAGUGAAGAAGGCCU
rnacentral:rRNA from 1 species